rnacentral:rRNA from 1 species
UACGUAGGCAGCAAGCGUUGUUCGGAGUUACUGGGCGUAAAGAGUGCGUAGGCGGUGUCGAAAGUUUUGGCGUGAAAUCUCCCGGCUUAACUGGGAGGGUGCGCCGAAAACUGCGAUGCUGGAGUGUGGGAAAGGCAAGCGGAAUUCCUGGUGUAGCGGUGAAAUGCGUAGAUAUCAGGAGGAACACCGGCGGUGUGAGAGCCGGCUUGCUAGACCAUAACUGACGCUGAGGCACGAAAGCGUGGGUAGCAAACAGG